rnacentral:rRNA from 1 species
UACGUAGGCAGCAAGCGUUGUUCGGAAUUACUGGGCGUAAAGAGUGUGUAGGCGGUGUUCUAAGUCUGUUGUGAAAUCUCCCGGCUUAACUGGGAGGGUGCGGCGGAAACUGGAAUGCUAGAGGAUGGGAGAGGUAAGCGGAAUUCCUGGUGUAGCGGUGAAAUGCGUAGAUAUGUGGAGGAACACCGAUGGCGAAGGCAGCCCCUGGGUCAAGACUGACGC